UCGUCCCGCGGAAAACAAAAACAAAGAAAAAGGGAACGUCGUCGUCGUCGUCGU
rnacentral:sRNA from 1 species